rnacentral:misc_RNA from 1 species
UCUCCGUUGGUGAACCAGCGGAGGGAUCAUUACAGAGUUGCAAAACUCCCAAACCAUUGUGAACGUUACCUAUCCCGUUGCUUCGGCGGGCGGCCCGGGCCCCGUGCCCGGCGCCGCCCGGCCGCCCGUGGACGCCCGCCGGAGGUAAACCAAACCCUUCAGUUGUAUGGCCUCUCUGAGUCUUCUAUACUGAAUAAGUCAAAACUUUCAACAACGGAUCUCUUGGUUCUG